AACCUAUCAAGCCCUGCUUGGUGUUGGGUGCCGGCCUACCAAGGCCCGCCCGUAACCCGUUGGCGGUUGUCACCGGCUGAAAGCGUAGCAAAAUAUGCUGGAGCCCGGAGGCUGCCUGCCAGGUAACCACACAUAUCAAAA
rnacentral:misc_RNA from 1 species